ensembl:lncRNA
GUGACGCAUCGGUCAGGUGCGCGGGUGUGGGAGCAGCAGGUGCGUAUGCUACGGCUGCGGAUACUCGAUUCCCCUUAACCACGCGCUAGACAUGAUCUGUGCCAGGGAUAUCCGGUCAGCCGGAACCAGCCUCAACGCACCCUUAAUCACAUUCUGACAGGUGUCAGGCACGAAUGCAGGGAUGGCGUAGGAUCCUCUGAGGAUGCAGAAGCGCAAUCGUCUCAGACUCGAGUCGUUGAAGGGGAACGUGGCCGUCAGCAUGAAGUACAGCAGGACGCCCAGAGCCCAGAGGUCCACCGACGGUCCGAUGUAACUCUUGUCCCGAAAGAGUUCAGGGGUGGUGUAGGGCAGAGAGCCGCAGAAGGUGGUGAGGAUGUCGGUGGGUUUGCACUCACCGCUGAAACAGAAGCCGCCCACUUUGAUGCAGUAUGUGGUGGUGUAGAAGACGUUUUCAGCCUUCAGCUCCCGGUGGAUGAUGUUGUUGUUUUCAUGCUAAAGAACAUCUGAGAUCUCCAUAAAGUUUCCUGAGCUAUAACGAAGCAACAUCUGAGCAAUUACAUAGGUAUUAAUAAUCAUCUUUCUAGUCCUAAAGAACCCAAAUAAGACCGUUCAGGAUAUAAAAUUUUUUUAAAACUCACACAAAAUCUGUCCUCUCCCUUUUUUCUCAGCCUUUAAGGGUUAAAGGUGCUGCUUGUCAUAUUUAAAAGCAUCCUCUAAGUGAUUCUGGUUUCUCCUCAAAGUCUCAGAUAUGUCCAGUAGUGUCCUAAUGCAUCUUCAGUUUACACAGACCUGCCCAUUUACAGUUCCAGGACGCAUAAAAUCCUUAUUCAAUCCAUUGAAGACCCCGUCACACGAGUGGCGCUCUCUCUGCGCUGCUAGUUCAUGUGUGUGUAAUCUUGUCUCACACACUCACCUACAGACAGGUGACUCACCUCUGACCCCUCCUGCCGCAGGAUUAUAGCGUCCAGCUGUCUGUCACUCGCUCCACGUGCUGAAUUUAGGUUUGUGUGUCUGGAUCCAAUUUUGGUUUGCCAUGUGGUUGCUACAACAUUAUUAGGUGAAUGCUAGGGCAUUUGUGUGCGGUUGAUAAUGUGUUCUAAGUGGCUGCCAAGUUGUUUAUAGCUGUUUUCUGUGGUUCUGUGCAUGGUUGCUGGAAUGAAAAACACCACUCUUAGUUUAGUAGUUGAAUCUGUUUCUCCAUACUCUCCUCACACAUGAAUGAGCAGUGUAGAGAUUACUAAUAUAUAACUGCAUAAUAUGACCUAAUUAUACAAGAAUGUUUUUCACUGAUGGUUGUAAUAGGAUAUCUCCUUGAGUGCCUCUAGACCAUAAGAUAAACAGACAGCCACAAUCCCCAUCAGGACCAGACGUCUAGCAUCAGAGGGAGCUGCACGAGUCGGUCUGUCUGUCCCUCUCUCUAUCUGUCUGUCUGUCUGUCUGUCUGUCUCUCUCUCUGUCU